UGUCUGCCUGACACAGGGCCUGUUGCUGC
rnacentral:piRNA from 1 species